CUGGGUGGGAGAAACUCAUCCAGAUGACAAUCCCACUCCUACUGCACCCAGGACUUCUAGGAAGGGAAUUUAGAAAAUUUCAAGGAAAAUUAUCCAAAGCACAGUCAGCCUCCUGAUGCCCAAGUUAGUCAGGGCUGAAACUUGCCUGAAUCUCAGGGAAGUGAGAAGGUUUUCUCAAGGAUCAUUUGUUCGUAUCUGAUUAUUCUCGAAGAUGACAGAGAUGACAGCAUUGUCCAGUCAGUGUAUUCGCAACUGUAUUCACAGAGAGCAAUGGCAUCUGUCAGAGGCAGUGAGAAUGUUGCAAAUCUGAGGAGCAGCAGAGGAGCAGCUGCAUUUAGAGAGUCUGUGAUGUUCAAAGUGAUUGACCAAGGAUAGGACCAAGUGGACUACAGCAGAGGAACUAAAAGGGACAGGAAGUCAUAUACUGCUG